rnacentral:rRNA from 1 species
GACGAACGCUGGCGGCGUGCCUAAUACAUGCAAGUCGAACGCAGUGGGGAACGGUGUGUAACACGUGGUUAACCUCCCAAUAGAGGGGAUAACACUUGGAAACAGGUGCUAAACCGAUACUGAUGGCGGCAUCAGCGGUGGAUUAGCUAGUGGGUGAGGUAACGGCUCACCAAGGCAACGAUGCCUAGCCGACCUGAGGGGGUGAUCGGCCACACUGGUACUGCGACACGGCCCAGACUCCUACGGGAGGCAUCAGUAGGGAAUCUUCCGGAAUGGACGAAAGCCUGACGGAGCAACGCCGCGUGAGUGAAGAAGGUUUUCGGAUCGUAAAACUCUGUUGUUAGAGAAGCGGUAUCUAACCAGAAAGCCACGGCUAACUACGUGCCAGCCGCCGCGGUAAUAC